rnacentral:rRNA from 1 species
UACGUAGGGGGCAAGCGUUGUCCGGAAUCAUUGGGCGUAAAGCGCGUGUAGGCGGCUCGGUAAGUCCGCUCUGAAAGUCCAGGGCUCAACCCUGGGAUGCGGGUGGAUACUGCCGGGCUCGAGUCCGGAAGAGGCGAGUGGAAUUCCCGGUGUAGCGGUGAAAUGCGCAGAUAUCGGGAGGAAGACCAGUGGCGAAGGCGGGUCUCUGGACAGUUCCUGACGCUGAGGCACGAAGGCCAGGGGAGCAAACGGG